AGCAGCCGCGGUAAUUCCAGCUCCAAUAGCGUAUAUUAAAGUUGUUGCAGUUAAAAAGCUCGUAGUUGAAUUUCGGGAUCAAUUUAUCGGUCGUGCCAACGGUAUGAACUGGUACAAUUGGUUUCUCCCUUCUGAUGAAGCACGAUGUCAUUAACUUGGUGUCGUGGGGAAUCAGGACUGUUACUUUGAAAAAAUUAGAGUGUUUAAAGCAGGCCUUGGCUUGAAUACAUUAGCAUGGAAUAAUGAAAUAGGACGUUUGAUCCUAUUUCGUUGGUUUCUAGGAUCGACGUAAUGAUUAAUAGGGAUGGUUGGGGGCAUUAGUAUUCAAUUGUCAGAGGUGAAAUUCUUGGAUUUAUUGAAGACUAACUACUGCGAAAGCAUUUGCCAAGGAUGUUUUCAUUAAUCAAGAACGAAAGUUAGGGGAUCGAAGACGAUCAGAUACCGUCGUAGUCUUAACCAUAAACUAUGCCGACUAGGGAUCGGAUGAUGUUAAUUUUUAAUGUACUCAUUCGGCGCCUUA
rnacentral:rRNA from 1 species